rnacentral:piRNA from 1 species
AGUUUAUGCUGUAAUCUGCUAUAGUCUGG